rnacentral:rRNA from 1 species
UACGGAGGGGGCUAGCGUUGUUCGGAAUUACUGGGCGUAAAGCGCACGUAAGCGGCUUUGCAAGUUAGAGGUGAAAGCCCGGGGCUCAACUCCGGAAUUGCCUUUAAAACUGCAUCGCUAGAAUUGUGGAGAGGUAAGUGGAAUUCCGAGUGUAGAGGUGAAAUUCGUAGAUAUUCGGAAGAACACCAGUGGCGAAGGCGACUUACUGGACACAUAUUGACGCUGAGGUGCGAAAGCGUGGGGAGCAAACAGG